rnacentral:rRNA from 1 species
AGUGAACGCUGGCGGUAGGCCUAACACAUGCAAGUCGAACGGCAGCACAGUAAGAGCUUGCUCUUACGGGUGGCGAGUGGCGGACGGGUGAGGAAUACAUCGGAAUCUACUUUUUCGUGGGGGAUAACGUAGGGAAACUUACGCUAAUACCGCAUACGACCUACGGGUGAAAGCAGGGGAUCUUCGGACCUUGCGCGAUUGAAUGAGCCGAUGUCGGAUUAGCUAGUUGGCGGGGUAAAGGCCCACCAAGGCGACGAUCCGUAGCUGGUCUGAGAGGAUGAUCAGCCACACUGGAACUGAGACACGGUCCAGACUCCUACGGGAGGCAGCAGUGGGGAAUAUUGGACAAUGGGCGCAAGCCUGAUCCAGCCAUACCGCGUGGGUGAAGAAGGCCUUCGGGUUGUAAAGCCCUUUUGUUGGGAAAGAAAAGCAGCAGGUUAAAACCCCGCUGUUCUGACGGUACCCAAAGAGUAAGCACCGGCUAACUUCGUG